rnacentral:rRNA from 1 species
GAAGGUAAUAAUCCUGUAGUCGAAAAUGUUGUCUCUCUUGAGUGGAUCCUGAGUACGACGGAGCACGUGAAAUUCCGUCGGAAUCUGGGAGGACCAUCUCCUAAGGCUAAAUACUCUCUAGUGACCGAUAGUGAACCAGUACCGUGAGGGAAAGGUGAAAAGCACCCCGGAAGGGGAGUGAAACAGAACCUGAAACCGUGUGCUUACAAGUAGUCAGAGCCCGUUAAUGGGUGAUGGCGUGCCUUUUGUAGAAUGAACCGGCGAGUUACGAUUUGAUGCAAGGUUAAGCAGUAAAUGUGGAGCCGUAGCGAAAGCGAGUCUGAAUAGGGCGUUUAGUAUUUGGUCGUAGACCCGAAACCAGGUGAUCUACCCUUGGUCAGGUUGAAGUUCAGGUAACACUGAAUGGAGGACCGAACCGACUUACGUUGAAAAGUGAGCGGAUGAACUGAGGGUAGCGGAGAAAUUCCAAUCGAACCUGGAGAUAGCUGGUUCUCUCCGAAAUAGCUUUAGGGCUAGCCUCAAGUGAUGAUUAUUGGAGGUAGAGCACUGUUUGGACGAGGGGCCCCUCUCGGGUUACCGAAUUCAGACAAACUCCGAAUGCCAAUUAAUUUAACUUGGGAGUCAGAACAUGGGUGAUAAGGUCCGUGUUCGAAAGGGAAACAGCCCAGACCACCAGCUAAGGUCCCAAAAUAUAUGUUAAGUGGAAAAGGAUGUGGCGUUGCCCAGACAACUAGGAUGUUGGCUUAGAAGCAGCCAUCAUUUAAAGAGUGCGUAAUAGCUCACUAGUCGAGUGACACUGCGCCGAAAAUGUACCGGGGCUAAACAUAUUACCGAAGCUGUGGAUUGUCCUUUGGACAAUGGUAGGAGAGCGUUCUAAGGGCGUUGAAGCAUGAUCGUAAGGACAUGUGGAGCGCUUAGAAGUGAGAAUGCCGGUGUGAGUAGCGAAAGACGGGUGAGAAUCCCGUCCACCGAUUGACUAAGGUUUCCAGAGGAAGGCUCGUCCGCUCUGGGUUAGUCGGGUCCUAAGCUGAGGCCGACAGGCGUAGGCGAUGGAUAACAGGUUGAUAUUCCUGUACCACCUAUA